ACCAAGCGACUGAAAAUCAGGUCUGUACCCUCCCGUUUCCAGUGGAACAACUGGGGACUGCCAAGAAGGGGGUCUGUUUAUAAAAGAGCAUCAACUCGCUUAGGCCAUGACGUUCACCCAGCCCUUCCUCUGGAGCAACCGCUGCCCUGUGAAUAAGAGCCGAUGGAGGAGACCGCAUCUUCGGUGGUGGUGACAGAACAUGAUUUCGGUUCUGCUCCUAAACCAGGUGCACUGGAUGCUGCUGCUGUACGCAUACAGCAAUUGGAAGAAACAGUCAAGGAGCUGAUGAGAGCUGUCACAGCUGAAAGUGGGUCAAGUGCCUUUUCACAGAUUUUGUGUCUCAGACAAGGACAUCCUUUUUUACACCAGAUUCACGUCAAGAGAUGUUUUUUGUGACUUCUGGGAGGUUAUUCAACCAUCUGCCUCCAUGUUGGUUUAUUGGUCGAAAGCUCAGAAAAAGAAACAAACAUUUGAACCCAUUUCUCCCAGUCCAACGUGUAGACUGAAACUGGUUGAGUUUUUUCUCUUCUGCUGCCGGGUUGCUGCAGGCCUGCAAGAGCAGGUGCUGGCUAACAUGUAUCAGGUCAGUGUGUCCACUGUCUCCCAUGUUGUUAUAACGUGGGCCAACUACCGUUACCUGCUCCUUGGCUCCCUCCCCAUCUGGAUGAGUAAACAGCAAGUCAAGAACACCAUGCCAAGCAAAUUUGUGCAGUACAGUCCAUCUUACAAGAACACAACAACCUUUAAGGCCUUGAUUGGGAUUGCCCCUUGUAGUGCCGUGACUUUUGUGUCAAGUCUCUUCACCGGCUCCAUCUCCGACCCAGAGCUGACUGAACGAAGUGGACUGCUGGAUUUACUGGAGCCAGGAGAUGGCUGCGUGGCAGACAAGGGUUUCACCAUCGAGAAGCCACUAGCUGAUCGUGGGGCAACGCUGAUUAUACCACCCUUCAAGAUGACAGUUCACCGAAGAGGAUGCUCUGAAAACACAAGCAAUCGCCCGACUUCGAAUCCUCGUAGAAAGAGCAAUAGGCAGAGUCAAGGAAUACCGCAUCUGGGAACGCACUGUCCUCUCACCUUGUCUGCGACAGUCAACCAGCUGUGGACCGUCUGCUGUGUGAUGACCAACUUCCAGGGACCACUUGAUUUAAAAGGCUACAUCCCUGUUGAAUAGUGUUUCUACUCAAACAUGUACCUAUAAAUAUAAUAUAUAAAUAUUAAAACGAGAGGCACUGAA